CCUACGGGUGGCAGCAGUAGGGAAUCUUCCACAAUGGACGAAAGUCUGAUGGAGCAACGCCGCGUGAGUGAAGAAGGGUUUCGGCUUGUUAAGCUCUUUUGGUAGUGGAGAAAGAUAGCGGUAGUGACUGGCCUUUGUUUGACGGUACUUACUUUGAAAGUCACGCCUAACUACGUGCCAGCCGCCGAGGUAAUACGGAGGUGGCAAGCGUUGUCCGGAUUUUUUGGGCGUAAGGGGAGUGCAGGCGGUGCAAUAAGUCUGAUGUGAAAGCCUUCGGCUCAACCGGAGAAUUGCAUCAGAAACUGUGGAACUUGAGUGCAGAAGAGGAGAGUGGAACUCGAGGUGUAGCGGUGGAAUGCGUAGAUAUAUGGAAGAACACCAGUGGCGAAGGCGGCUCUCUGGUCUGCAACUGACGCUGAGGCUCGAAAGCAAGGGUAGCGAACAGGAUUAGAUACCCGGGUAGUC
rnacentral:rRNA from 1 species